rnacentral:rRNA from 1 species
UGUCAGGCGAUGGCUGCAGGCCUAACACAUGCAGUCGAACGAAGCCUUCGGGCUUAGUGGCGGACGGGUGAGUAACGCGUGGGAACGUGCCCUUCUCUACGGAAUAGUCCCGGGAAACUGGGUUUAAUACCGUAUACGCCCUUCGGGGGAAAGAAUUUCGGGGAAGGAUCGGCCCGCGUUGGAUUAGGUAGUUGGUGGGGUAAUGGCCUACCAAGCCGACGAUCCAUAGCUGGUUUGAGAGGAUGAUCAGCCACACUGGGACUGAGACACGGCCCAGACUCCUACGGGAGGCAGCAGUGGGGAAUCUUAGACAAUGGGGGCAACCCUGAUCUAGCCAUGCCGCGUGAGUGACGAAGGCCCUAGGGUCGUAAAGCUCUUUCGCCAGGGAUGAUAAUGACAGUACCUGGUAAAGAAACUCCGGCUAACUCCGUGCCAGCAGCCGCGGUAAUACGGAGGGGGUUAGCGUUGUUCGGAAUUACUGGGCGUAAAGCGCGCGUAGGCGGACUAUUAAGUCAGAGGUGAAAUCCCGGGGCUCAACCCCGGAACUGCCUUUGAUACUGGUAGUCUUGAGUUCGAGAGAGGUGAGUGGAAUUCCGAGUGUAGAGGUGAAAUUCGUAUAUAUUCGGAGGAACACCACUGUCGAAGGCGGCUCACUGUCUCGAUACUGACGCUGAGGUGCGAAAGCGUGCGGAGCAAACAUGAUUACAUACCCUGGUAGUCCCAUUCGCAACGAUGAAUGCCAUACGUCAGGAGGCUUGCCUCUUGCUGUCAUCAUCUAGCCGAUUAGGCAUUCCGCCUGGAGAACUACAGGUCGCAAGAUUAAGACUCCAAGAAAUUGACAG